UACCAAGGCGACGAGGGGUAGCCGGCCUGAGAGGGUGUCCGGCCACACUGGGACUGAGAUACGGCCCAGACUCCUACGGGAGGCAGCAGUCGAGAAGCUUCGGCAAUGGGCGAAAGCCUGACCGAGCGAUGCCGCGUGAGCGAAGAAGGUCCUUUGGAUUGUAAAGCUCUGUCAGAUUGGGAAGAAAACCUUGGGGUUAAUACCCUCAAGGCUUGACGGUACCAUCAGAGGAAGCACCGGCUAACUCCGUGCCAGCAGCCGCGGUAAUACGGAGGGUGCAAGCGUUGUUCGGAUUCACUGGGUAUAAAGGGUGCGCAGGCGGUUUGAUAAGUCAGAGGUGAAAUAUGUCGGCUCAACCGGCAAACGGCCCCUGAAACUGUCAAACUUGAGUCCGAGAGAGGUAGGUGGAAUUCCAGGUGUAGCGGUGAAAUGCGUAAAUAUCUGGAGGAACACCAGUGGCGAAGGCGGCCUACUGGCUCGGAACUGACGCUCAGGCACGAAAGCUAGGGGAGCGAACGGGAUUAGAUACCCCGGUAGUCCUAGCCGUAAACGAUGGAUACUAGGUGUUGGAGGAUUCUACCCCUUCAGUGCCGCAGCUAACGCAUUAAGUAUCCCACCUGGGGAGUACGAUCGCAAGGUUGAAACUCAAAGGAAUUGACGGGGGCCCGCACAAGCGGUGGAGCAUGUGGUUUAAUUCGAUGCAACGCGAAGAACCUUACCUAGGCUUGACAUGCAGGGGACAGAUGUAGAAAUACAUCCUUCUUCGGACCCCUGUACAGGUGCUGCAUGGCUGUCGUCAGCUCGUGUCGUGAAAUGUUAGGUUAAGUCCUGCAACGAGCGCAACCCCUGUCUUCAGUUGCCAUCAGGUAAUGCUGGGAACUCUGGAGAGACCGCCGGUGACAAACCGGAGGAAGGUGGGGACGACGUCAAGUCAUCAUGGCCCUUACGCCUAGGGCUACACACGUGCUACAAUGGUCGGUACAAAGGGCUGCAAUACAGCGAUGUGGAGCGAAUCCCAAAAAACCGGCCUCAGUUCGGAUUGUAGUCUGCAACUCGACUACAUGAAGUUGGAAUCGCUAGUAAUCGCGUAUCAGAACGACGCGGUGAAUACGUUCCCGGGCCUUGUACACACCGCCCGUCAAGUCAACCGAGUUGGUUGCACCCCAAGUCGCUGAGCUAACCCCUUCGGGGGAGGCAAGUGCCCAAGGUGUGAUUGGCGAGGGGGACUAAGUCGUAACAAGGUA
rnacentral:rRNA from 1 species